rnacentral:tRNA from 1 species
GCCCCCGUAGCUUAACGGAUAAAGUACUUCCCUCCGAAGGAAGAAAUACAGGUUCAAUUCCUGUCGGGGGCACAA